rnacentral:rRNA from 1 species
AACGAACGCUGGCGGCAUGCCUAACACAUGCAAGUCGAACGAGACCUUCGGGUCUAGUGGCGCACGGGUGCGUAACGCGUGGGAACCUGCCCUUAGGUUCGGAAUAACUCCCCGAAAGGGGUGCUAAUACCGGAUAAUGUCUUCGGACCAAAGAUUUAUCGCCUUUGGAUGGGCCCGCGUUGGAUUAGCUAGUUGGUAGGGUAAAAGCCUACCAAGGCGACGAUCCAUAGCUGGUCUGAGAGGAUGAUCAGCCACACUGGGACUGAGACACGGCCCAGACUCCUACGGGAGGCAGCAGUGGGGAAUAUUGGACAGUGGGCGAAAGCCUGAUCCAGCAAUGCCGCGUGAGUGAUGAAGGCCUUAGGGUUGUAAAGCUCUUUUCCCCGGGAUGAUAAUGACAGUACCGGGAGAAUAAGCUCCGGCUAACCCCGU